UACUCCCUGCCCCCAGAUAGGUACUUGUACGCCUAGGGAAAGACGCUGCUAGGUGCUGCUGCUAAAUCCCUGUGGUUUCUGCCGGCUCACGUAGGUUCGUUCGCGUGGUCUUGUUACGCCUCGCUGGAUCGUGUUCAGUCAUGCCGUCCUUGCGCGGCGUCAUUGUCGGCGAGUCAGGUUAAAUUCUUUAAUAGGUCGCGCCUGCGCCUAAUUGAGUCUAUUAAAGACUGCACAUUCAGUUUUGCUGGCUACAAUUCAGUGUGGCUGGCGUGGGCUGUCUCCACGAUGCGCUUCGAGCGUGUCGAUUUCGCCGUUCUUUAUGUUGGCGGAAAUGACCGUGAAAGCAACAUGGAUCUACAAGAAAUAUGCAACAACAUCAAGGCCUUGAUUGUUCAGCGAGACGGCGCCCGUCGUGCUGGUUUUCAAGGUGCUCUCUCGCUGGCUAGAAGAUGCUGAUGCGGAACAGAAAAUGCAAAAACGUCGCUUGCUCAACCGCAAAUUGACGGCUACGCUGAAGCGCAUGCCGUGUCUGCGGAAUUUGAACCCCGAGAGCUGUCCGCUUUGCUGCAGCCAAUUGGAACACCAGACGACGCUGGCGUGUGCGCGAUAAGGAUGGACGACCGGUGCCACGAGACGGCGACAAGUGCACCACAAAAACCUUUCCAGAGUUCCUUGGAAAAUCCUCCCAUGCACCUGCCAUGUACAUUGCCCCCCCCCCCCUCCUCGAUGUGGCAUGCAAGAUGGCAGCAGCAGCUGUGGAACAGUUGAAGAGGCGAAGAAAGGUCCACAUUAUAAUAGGUUGUAUGUAAAUAAAACUGAUCGAACACAACCGAUUCGGCUUCCACUUUUGUCAAGACAAUUGUCAGCAAACAAAUGGAGUAAUUUCAGUAGGGCGAUACUAAUAGUGCAUAGAAAUUCUUGGAAGCCUCGUCAGCUUUCUUGCUGUUAACAGGCUGUGUUGGUGAGGUGGUUUAGGCAGGGAAUGCCAAUUCAUGAGGGAUGGUCAUGGCCACCAUGUUCAAUGUAUGUGCAGCAUCAAUCAGUUCUCUAGACCGAGUGCACUAAUGUCAUGGCAGGCCAGCACUUCGUCGCAUGAUAUAUUUUCAAACCUCGCAUGCUUUCUUUGGGGCUCUGAGAAAAUUAAUGAAGCAUGAAACUAAAAUCGGCAUGUUGCAGUUUUCAAUACAACCAUCACUGCAUUUGUCCAUUCUUGAAACAAAUUUUAUUGUACCAAAUGCAUACAGAAUUGUGGAAUAUCCGAAGUACAUUUUGCUUGUUUUGGUCAAGCAGCUGGCAGAACAAAACCACAAAGUUCCAAAGCAGGAAGGUAACACUUCUUUUGAAGUACACGAGUGCAAAACUUGCCGCCAAUUAAAAAAAGAAGGGAGCUGCUACACACCAUUUCUUGGUUCUUUGACCAUUUAUUUUUUCUUUUGUGGCUGAUGUUUAAAAAUCCUUGCUAUAGCAAAUGCAAAGACAUCAAAAAUCAACGCACGACAGAUAUUGGUACUAUGGUGUAAAGUAAUGAAGAUAUAAUUUUGCAUGCACAUUAUUUCGUCUGAAAUAGAGGGAUAUAGCACAAACGUUGCUCUUCAAUCCUAAUAAAAUAUAAGGAACUCGUGGGCUACAAGAGGGCUACGGAUGAUUGUUGAGGGCCUCGGAUUCUGUAAUGUGCAGCUAUACUUAAGUACACAAGCAUUUUUGGAAUCUGCCUCUACCUGGGUGCAGCUUUGUGACCUGGAAUGAAAAGCCACAGCCAUCGAGAUCGAGCUGCUGCAGUGGCGACAUCACAGUAAAAGGUAAUAGCGAAAAAUUAAAACAAUAAUAUGGCCAUGCAACUUGCAACAAAUCAGAUAGGUCACCUGAAGCUUCUAUUUCCAAUUUUUCUGGUGUUGCAUAGAAGGGCAAAAAUCUUGAAAAGUGAUAGUGUACGACUUUCAUGCAUAAACAAUUGUGCAUAUCUACUUUUUUUUAACCAUGCAGAUAUUUAGCAAAAAGUUUUGAGCACGGAGAGCCCGGCGUUUUUGCAAAGGAGUUUCUAGGUGAGGUGGACACACUAUGCUGCUAAUAAUGCGAGUUUCAGAAAAUUAAUUUUGAAAAAUUCAGUCACUUUUUUAUUAGUAACUUGGCGGCAGCCUUCUAAAUGGCAUAUUUGGAGGCAGUCGCAUGUGAACGCACACCCUUUCUUUUUCUAAAUCUCGAAAAUUGCACUUAUUUUGAGAUAUUCAUUAUCGCGCUCAAUUGAGUACAAUCAAAACUUGGUGCAUCCUCCUCCACAUCAGGCGGCAGUGCCCUGUCAAGAAGUGUGGGACAAAGCUUAAAUGAUAGCCUGACAUGGCACACUGACGCACAUGCUUGCCAGGCAAAGUGUGUCGUAUCAGCAGCUACAAUGACUGGCCAAGAUGUUUCCAUCUGAUGAGAUAGCGGGACCUUCUUUUCUGCACUCCCAGCACACUCAGUUCCAAUAUUGCCUCGAUUUACCAGUGAAAUUCAAUGAUGAAUAUCUUGAAUUAGGUGCAACUUUCAAGAUUUGUAAGAAAUGAGAGUGCAUUAGAGGAAUUCCUCUGCAAGAAUGCCACAUUUUCCGCGCUCAUAACUUGAAAACAAGAAAAUCUGUAUGGUAAUAAAAGACACCCUAUACGUAUACAGUGUGCAUUGGAGCAUUUCAUGCAACCAAUAUUCAAGCACCUUCUGUCUACAAAGAAUUCAUAAAGCAAAUUUAUGCAUUAAUACUGGAAUCAGUUACGAGCACUGGAAAUGCAAACACUGUUACGAACCCUGGUCACAUGCCAGGCAUUGUGUUGCUGCUCUCUGCGUAGGGCCUAUGAAUAAAAACCACCUUCAACAUCGCACAGUAAGCUACUAAUUGCUAUGUGUAGGAAGACUUACAGUUCUUCAAAUGCAAUUAUGACCUAGACAUUCUAAAGCUUUUCUAAUAAUGUACUUUUAGUGAACAAGUCCCCAAAACUUGGAACAACUCUGAAGCUAUAAUGCCAUUAUUAUCUGAAAGAUGCACUACAUUUUUUUAACGCAGUAAGGAAACAUUCAUAAUCGACAAUGCCACCAUAGACAUGAAAAUGGAUUUUUGCAAUACCAAUAGUAUUCAUAUUCGAAAAAUAUUCGCUUCGCACUUAGGUUUCAUUAUUCGAAUUAGCUUUGAAAUUAAAAAAUUGAUAUUUCCACACCCAUAGUUUUUACUCAAAUACCUGGAGCAUAAGUCAUUUGAGGACGUAACUUCAGGAAUAGCAACAGUA